GAUGAACGCUGGCGGCGUGCCUAACACAUGCGAGUCGAGCGAUCUUCUUCGGAAGAGAGCGGCGGACGGGUGAGUAACGCGUGGGUAACCUGCCUCAUACACAUGGAUAACAUACCGAAAGGUAUGCUAUUACAAGAUGAUAUAAGAGAUUCGCAUGGAUUUCUUAUCAAAGCUCCGGCGGUAUGAGAUGGACCCGCGUCUGAUUAGCUAGUUGGUAAGGUAACGGCUUACCAAGGCGACGAUCAGUAGCCGACCUGAGAGGGGGAUCGGCCACAUUGGAACUGAGACACGGUCCAAACUCCUACGGGAGGCAGCCGUGGGGAAUAUUGCACAAUGGGCGAAAGCCUGAUGCAGCGACGCCGCGUGAGCGAUGAAGGCCUUCGGGUCGUAAAGCUCUGUCCUCAAGGAAGAUAAUGACGGUACUUGAGGAGGAAGCCCCGGCUAACUACGUGCCAGCCGCCGCCGUAA
rnacentral:rRNA from 1 species